UGGUUUGGAUUUAUUUAUGAUAAAUAAGCAGUGGAAAGAUGGAGAUUAGUGAAUUUGAUUACCUAAUUAUUAUUUGAAACGCUCUCCGUUCAUUGUAUUUGUACCCAAAAUCUGAAAAAGAAAAUGGUAAAAAAGUUAAGGAAAAAUAACAAAUAUCACCCUUGCAAUUCAACAUAUCCUUGCAUUUUCAAUUUGAACAAUUUAGCCCCUAAAUAUCAUAUAUGUAACGUUCAAAUAGAGGUUUAAUUUGUUGCAGAUCUAAUCCGCAGGGGGUAAAUUAUUCUAAUAAUUUAGAGAUAUCACCACCAUAUGAAUUUAAUCUGACGGUCAUUGAUACGUGAAUUACGGACUGCAUGAUUAAUAUAACUUGAUUCCAAAUUUUUUUUUUUGUGUGUGUGUGUGUGGCCAAUCUUGAAGCAUGUACCAGGCCGGGUUCGUUGAGAAAGCAGAGGAGCACUAAAGUUGAAGGGAGUUGACGAAAUUUUGUUGAUUAGUGAGAUCUCAAGUUACUUCCUUGUUUGGAGCGGAAGUUCUUUGGUCAAAAGGGUAUACUGGUGCAAAAGUCAAAAUGGCCAUAUUUGACACUCGCAUUCGAGCUAAUCACCCACAUUUUCGUAAUAUCAAGGAGCGUACAAACUGGACAAAUGAGGAUACGCUAAAUGACAAUCUCAGACAUGGGACAUUUGUUGCUGGUGUUAUUGCUGGUGGAGAUGCAGAGUGUCUUGGUUUUGCUCCAGAUACCGAGAUGAUUUAUGUUUUUCGCUUAUUUACUAAUGCACAUUGUUACUGGUAUUACUGCUUGUGUGUUCUUAUAUUUAGUUUUCUAUGUACACCAUUCCGACUUGAAGUUGCAUUUAUGUCUCACUUUUUAUCCUCUAUAUUCGGUUUCAAGUUCUGCAAUCAUUAUGUGUAAUUCUGAAUUGCAGUUUAUCCAUAGGAUUUUUAAGUACUCCUAAGUUUGAGAAAGCCAAGCACGACUUGUAAAAUGACUGAAUCUAUCUUUCAAUGGUUCACUAAAAUUUGUUUUCAGGAGUUUUUGAGAAGUUUGUAUUUAGUACAUAAUAUGUUUAUUGGGCUACUUUUUUUAUUUUUUUUAUUUUUUUUAAUUUUGAUUUUGUCAAGAAAACUUGUUGAGAUUGUGAGAAGAUUUUAUUCAGCCUAUUGCAGGUAGCAUACACGUCAUGGUUCCUUGAUUGGUUCAACUAUGCCGUUGCAACCAAUAUGGAUGGGAUGUAUUGAAUUUGAGUACAGGCGGACCUGAUUACUUGGAUCUCCCGUUUGUUGAGAAGGUUUGGGAAAUAACAGCAAAUAACAUAAUUAUGGUUUCGGCAAUUGGAAAUGAUGGACCACUUUAUGGCACUUUAAACAAUCCAGCAGACCAAAGUGAUGUCAUUGGUGUUGCUGGCAUUGACUACAGUGACCACAUAGCCUCAUUUUCUUCACGUGGCAUGAGUACUUGGGAGAUUCCUCAUGGGUACCCUGUAAUCAUUCAUUUCAUAGGAACUGAAAUUUGUCCACAGAUUGAAUUUUUUUUUUUUUUUUUUCUUUCUUUCUUUUGGUUGUUAAUAUAUAUAUAUAUAUAUAUCUGCUUCUUAUUUCCUUUA